rnacentral:rRNA from 1 species
GAAUGAGCAGCGGGGAUUCUCCUGUGAGCAGCGCGUAGCGUAAAAGCACGUAUACUAAGUGUGUGGUAAAAGCCACAUGUCGCAGAAGUACGGAACGCUUGGGCUGGCUGGCGGUCCGCCUCACCGCGUGCACUGGUCCGGCCGGGCCUUUCCCUCUGUGGAACCCCAUACCCUUCACUGGGCGUGGCGGGGAAACAGGACAUUUACUUUGAAAAAAUUAGAGUGCUCCAGGCAGGCCUAUGCUCGAAUACAUUAGUAUGGAAUAAUAAAAUAGGACGCGCGGUUCUAUUUUGUUGGUUUAUAGGACCGCCGUAAUGAUUAAUAGGGACAGUCGGGGGCAUCAGUAUUCAACUGUCAGAGGUGAAAUUCUUGGAUCAGUUGAAGACUAACUACUGCGAAAGCAUUUGCCAAGGAUGUUGGGAUGAAUCAGGAACGAAAGUUAGGGGGAUCGAAGACGAUCAGAUACCGUCGUAGUCUUUAACCAUAAAACUAUGCCGACCUAGGGAUCGGGACGGUGUUAUUCAUGACCCGUUCGGGCACCUUUACGAGAAAUCAAAAGUGCCUUGGGGCUCCAGGGGGGAGUAUGGUCGCAAGGGCUGAAACUUUAAAGGAAAUUUGAACGGAAAGGGUCACCACCCAGGGGGUGGGAAGCACUGCGGCUUUAAAUUUUGACUCCAACACCGGGAGAAACUUCACCCAGGCGCCAGGACAAACAAUUAAGGGAUUUGGACCAGAAUUGAGAAGCCUCCUUUCCCUUUGAAUUUUUUGUGGGUGGGAUGGAUUAGCAUUGGCUCCGAUUCCUUUAAGUUUGGGUGGGGGGUGGAACCUUUGCUCCUGGCCUUUAAAUAUUGGCGAAUAUAAACCCAGACCCCGAGGAAACCCCUUGUACCCCCUGUGCCUAUAAGAAUAAUGCACCCCCGCCGCCAAACUAUGUGCGCCUUCGCCCGGAGCGACACGGUGUUGUGCGCGCGGA